rnacentral:rRNA from 1 species
GACGAACGCUGGCGGCGUGCCUAAUACAUGCAAGUCGAACGCAGUUGCGAACGGGUGAGUAACGCGUAGGUACCUGCCUCCUAGCGGGGGAUACCUAUUGGAAACACUAGCUAAUACCGCCUACUGUGAGAUGGACCUGCGUUGUAUUAGCUAGUUGGUGGGGUAAAGGCUCACCAAGGCGACGAUACAUAGCCGACCUUAGAGGUGUAAUGGCCACACUGGGACGGAGACACUGCCCAGACUCCUACGGGGAGCAGCAGUAGGGAAUCUUCGGCAAUUGACGGAAGUCUGACCGAGCAACGCCGCGUGAGUGAAGAAGGUUUUCGGAUUGUAAAGCUCUGUUGUUAGGGAAGCGGUACCUAACCAGAAAGGGACGGCUAACUACGUGCCAGCAGCCGCGGUAAUAC